rnacentral:rRNA from 1 species
AUUGAACGCUGGCGGAAUGCUUUACACAUGCAAGUCGAGCGGCAGCACGGGGGCAACCCUGGUGGCGAGCGGCGAACGGGUGAGUAAUACAUCGGAACAUGCCCAGUCGUGGGGGAUAACACUUCGAAAGAAGUGCUAAUACCGCAUACGUCCUGAGGGGGAAAGCGGGGGAUCGCAAGACCUCGCGCGAUUGGAGUGGCCGAUGUCAGAUUAGCUAGUUGGUGGGGUAAAGGCCUACCAAGGCAACGAUCUGUAGCUGGUCUGAGAGGAUGAUCAGCCACACUGGGACUGAGACACGGCCCAGACUCCUACGGGAGGCAGCAGUGGGGAAUUUUGGACAAUGGGGGCAACCCUGAUCCAGCCAUUCCGCGUGAGUGAAGAAGGCCUUCGGGUUGUAAAGCUCUUUCGGCAGGAACGAAACGGUGAGCUCUAACAUAGCUAGCUAAUGACGGUACCUGAAGAAGAAGCACCGGCUAACUACGUG